ACGGGAGGCAGCAGUGGGGAAUAUUGCACAAUGGGGGAAACCCUGAUGCAGCGACGCCGCGUGGGUGAUGAAGUAUUUCGGUACGUAAAGCCCUAUCAGCAGGGAAGAUAAUGACGGUACCUGACUAAGAAGCUCCGGCUAAAUACGUGCCAGCAGCCGCGGUAAUACGUAUGGAGCAAGCGUUAUCCGGAUUUACUGGGUGUAAAGGGAGCGCAGGCGGUUUAGUAAGUUGGGUGUGAAAACCCGGGGCUCAACCUCGGGACUGCACCCAAACUGCCAAACUAGAGUAUCGGAGGGGCAAGCGGAAUUCCUAGUGUAGCGGUGAAAUGCGUAGAUAUUAGGAGGAACACCGGUGGCGAAGGCGGCUUGCUGGACGAUAACUGACGCUGAGGCUCGAAAGCGUGGGGAGCAAACAGGAUUAGAUACCCUGGUA
rnacentral:rRNA from 1 species